UACGGGGGGGGCAAGCGUUGUUCGGAAUUACUGGGCGUAAAGGGCUCGUAGGCGGCCAACUAAGUCAGACGUGAAAUCCCUCGGCUUAACCGGGGAACUGCGUCUGAUACUGGAUGGCUUGAGUUUGGGAGAGGGAUGCGGAAUUCCAGGUGUAGCGGUGAAAUGCGUAGAUAUCAGGAGGAAUACCGAUGGCGAAGGCAGGUCUCUGGGCUAUAACUGACGCUCAUGCACGAAAGCGUGGGGAGCAAACAGG
rnacentral:rRNA from 1 species